UUACAAAACACUGGCUCGCAGUCAUAAAUAUUGGUACUGACUCUUAUAAAGCCUCAUUGGUCAAACCCUUGCGAGGUGUACCUUUGUCAGAGCAACAGCAUCUUGAUCAUUUCUGCGUAAUUUGUCACAAUAUAGUUAAUCCUGUCUCCCCGCGAUAUUAAUAGUGCUAGUUACAUAAAUAUCAAGCAGGCACAAAUCACAAUCACGGCCACGUAAAACUUAAAUGUCUGUAGAUUAUUUUGGCUUCGACAGAGGAGGAGUACAAAGAGAACGGCUACUGAAGCGAGAGUCUCAGGACUUGUCGAUAAUAAUGGAGAGAAAAGAGGGGAGGUUCUGGCUCGGAGAAUGCAGCAGUGAGCAGUCUUUGUUUCGCACCUCCCUGUUUGCUCUGCUGCUCAGCUAGCUCUCCCUGCUGUCUGUGUGUGUGUGUGUGUAGUAGCAGAAUUUGUCUUCAUUUCAGAUCAACAAAGGUCAGUUUAAAAGAUUUUCGUCAGAUUUUGAGAGACCUAGAGACUCAUUCCGCUUCCCGUUUCCCGGUUAGCAUUCUACCAAUCAGAUGGGUCAUUUGAGUCCGAC